rnacentral:rRNA from 1 species
UACGUAGGCAGCGAGCGUUGUUCGGAGUUACUGGGCGUAAAGAGUGCGUAGGCGGUGUUCCAAGUCUGUUGUGAAAUCUCCCGGCUCAACUGGGAGGGUGCGGCGGAAACUGGGACGCUGGAGUACGGGAGAGGUAAGCGGAAUUCCUGGUGUAGCGGUGAAAUGCGUAGAUAUCAGGAGGAACACCUGCGGUGUAGACGGCUUACUGGAUCGUAACUGACGCUGAGGCACGAAAGCGUGGGUAGCAAACAGG